rnacentral:snRNA from 1 species
GGAUGUGAGGGUGAUCUGGCAGCGACAUCUGUCACCCCAUGGAUCGCCAGGGUUGAUUCGGCUGAUCUGGCUGGCUAGGUGGGUGUCCCCUUCCCCCCUCACCACUCCAUGUGUGUCCCUCCCAAAGCUGCAUGCUCGGUUGAAGAGGACGACCUUCCCUGCGCGAGGAGGAGCGGUCUUCAGUCAAGGGUAUAGGAGUAGCUGUGCUCCCCUGCUAGAACCUCCAAAUAAGCUCUCAAGUUUACCUAUUCAAUCUAGUGUACAGGGAAAUACAAAUGAUAAAACUCUAGUGAAACUGGAAAAUAAUUU